rnacentral:rRNA from 1 species
CCUACGGGAGGCAGCAGUGAGGAAUAUUGGUCAAUGGCCGGAAGGCUGAACCAGCCAUGCCGCGUGAAGGUCAGUGCCCUAUGGGCGUUAAACUUCUUUUGUGCGGGAGCAAUAAUGGUCACUUGUUGCCAAACGAGAGUACCGUACGAAUAAGCAUCGGCCAACUCCGUGCCAGCAGCCGCGGUAAUACGGAGGAUCCGAGCGUUAUCCGGAUUUAUUGGGUGUAAAGGGAGCGUAGAUGGGUUGUUAAGUCGGAUGUGAAAGUUUGCGGCUCAACCGUAAAAUUGCAAUUGAUACUGGCAGUCUUGAGUACAGUUGAGGUCGGCGGAAUUCGUGGUGUAGCGGUGAAAUGCUUAGAUAUCACGAAGAACCCCGAUUGCGAAGGCAGCUUACUAGACUGUGACUGACAUUGAUGCUCGAAAGUGUGGGUAUCAAACAGGAUUAGAUACCCCAGUAGUC